UACAGAGGGGGCAAGCGUUGUUCGGAAUUACUGGGCGUAAAGGGCGCGUAGGCGGCCUGUUAAGUCGAACGUGAAAUCCCCGGACUCAACCCGGGAACUGCGUCCGAUACUGGCAGGCUUGAAUUCGGGAGAGGGAAGUGGAAUUCCCGGUGUAGUGGUGAAAUGCGUAGAUAUCGGGAGGAACACCAGUGGCGAAGGCGACUUCCUGGCCUGUUCUUGACGCUGAGGCGCGAAAGCUAGGGGAGCAAACGGG
rnacentral:rRNA from 1 species